rnacentral:rRNA from 1 species
UACGUAGGGGGCAAGCGUUGUCCGGAUUUAUUGGGCGUAAAGCGCACGCAGGCGGCCCGCCAAGUCCGAAGUGACAGUCAUUGGCUUAACCAAUGAAGGCCUUCGGAAACUGGCAGACUUGAGAGCAAUAGAGGGACACGGAAUUCCGGGUGGAGUGGUGAAAUGCGUAGAUAUCCGGAGGAACACCAAAGGCGAAGGCAGUGUCCCGGAUUGUUUCUGACGCUCAGGUGCGAAAGCUAGGGGAGCGAACGGG